rnacentral:lncRNA from 1 species
GUCAUAUCUACAAGCUGAACCCUGUUCUCCAAGAUGGUGUGCUUCGAGUUGGUGGAAGACUCAGUAGAGCGGCAAUGCCAGAUGAGGCAAAACACCCAGCCAUCCUACCUAAAGAUCUUCAUGUGACCAGCCUCAUCCUUCGUCACAUCCAUCAGGAGACAGGCCACAGUGGGCGUAACCACAUGCUUUCCAGCCUGCGUCAAAAAUUCUGGGUUCCAGGAGUCAGUUCAGCAAUAAGAAAGAUACUUUCAAGAUGCAUUAACUGUCGAAGAAUGCAUAGUACUACUGGACAACAACAGAUGGCAGACCUGCCUCAUGACAGAGUUUUACCUGAUGAGCCACCAUUCACAAAUGUAGGGGUGGACUACUUUGGCCCAUUUGAGGUAAAGCGGGGAAGAUGCAUUGUCAAGAGGUAUGGUGUCAUAUUUACAUGCCUGGCUCUGCGUGCCAUCCACAUUGAGGUUGCAUCCUCAUUAGAUACAGAUUCAUUCAUUCAUGCUCUUCGACGAUUUAUCGCGAGACGAGGCCAAGUCUCAGUUCUUCGAUCAGACAAUGGCACAAACUUCGUCGGAGCUGAGAGAGAACUAAGAGAGGCAAUUCAAGGAUGGAAUAACUCUCAGAUUCAUGACUUUCUUCUUCAUAAAGGCAUCAAGUGGAUUUUUAACCCACCUACUGGCUCACACCAUGGAGGAGUGUGGGAAAGAUUAAUCAGAUCUAUAAGGAAAGUCCUUAAUUCCACCUUGCGGAUGCAAACCUUGGAUGAAGAAGGUCUUCUAACUGUUCUUUGUGAAGUGGAGGCAAUUCUUAAUAGCCGUCCUAUUACAAAGGCAUCCAAUGAUCCCCAUGACCUUGAAGCACUCACACCUAACCACUUGUUACUCCUAAAAUCCAAACCAUCUCUUCCACCAGGACUUUUUCAGAAGGAAGACUUGUAUGUUCGGCGACGAUGGAGGCAUGUUCAAUAUAUGGCAGACUUGUUCUGGAAAAGGUGGAUGAAAGAAUUCUUACCACUGAUGCAAGAACGGCAAAAGUGGGGACGCAUAAAGCGCAAUUUCAGUGUUGGAGACUUUGUUCUCCUCGUGGAUGAAUCAGCUCCUCGUAACUCAUGGGUGAUGGGCAAAAUCAUCCAAGUGU